GCCUGGGUGGCUCAGUCAGCUAAGCGCCUGACUUUGGCUCAGGUCAUGAUCUCACGGUUUGUGGGUUCGAGCCCCGUGUCGGGCU
rfam:Felis catus isolate Cinnamon breed Abyssinian chromosome C2, whole genome shotgun sequence.